AGCGAACGCUGGCGGCGUGCCUAACACAUGCAAGUCGAACGUGAAAGGGAGCAAUCCCAAGUAAAGUGGCGUACGGGUGAGUAACACGUAGGUAAUCUACCCCAGAAUCUGGAAUAACCGGCCGAAAGGCUGGCUAAUACUGGAUAGAGCGACGGAAUCCGUAAUUGGGUUUUUCGGGAAAGGGAGCCUGUAAAAAGGCCUUCGUUCUGGGAUGAGCCUGCGUCCCAUCAGCUAGUUGGUGAGGUAAAAGCUUACCAAGGCAAUGACGGGUAGCUGGUCUGAGAGGACGAUCAGCCACACUGGAACUGAAACACGGUCCAGACUCCUACGGGAGGCAGCAGUGGGGAAUCUUGCGCAAUGGACGAAAGUCUGACGCAGCAACGCCGCGUGAGCGAAGAAGGCCUUCGGGUUGUAAAGCUCUGUCGAGUGGGACGAAAAUGCUUGGAGUUCACAGCUCCAGGAACUGACGGUACCACUAAAGGAAGCACCGGCUAACUCCGUG
rnacentral:rRNA from 1 species